rnacentral:rRNA from 1 species
UACGGGAGGCAGCAGUGGGGAAUAUUGCACAAUGGGCGAAAGCCUGAUGCAGCUAUGCCGCGUGUAUGAAGAAGGCCUUAGGGUUGUAAAGUACUUUCAUCGGGGAGGAAAAAACAAAACUAAUAAUUUUAUUUCUUGACGUUACCCGAAAAAGAAGCACCGGCUAACUCCGUGCCAGCAGCCGCGGUAAUACGGGGGGUGCUAGCGUUAAUCAGAAUUACUGGGCGUAAAGAGCACGUAGGUGGUUUUUUUAAAGUCAGAUGUGAAAUCCCUGGGCUUAACCUAGGAACUGCAUUUUGAAACUGAAAUACUAGAGUAUCGUAGAGGGAGGUAGAAUUCUAGGUGUAGCGGUGAAAUGCGUAGAUAUCUGGAGGAAUACCUGUGGCGAAAGCGGCCUCCUAAACGAAUACUGACACUGAGGGUGCGAAAGCGUGGGGAGCAAACAGGGAUUAGAUACC